GACGAACGCUGGCGGCGUGCUUAACACAUGCAAGUCGAACGGAAAGGCCCUGCUUUUGUGGGGUGCUCGAUUGGCGAACGGGUGAGUAACACGUGAGUAACCUGCCCUUGACUUUGGGAUAACUUCUGGAAACUGGGGCUAAUACCGGAUAGGAGCUCCUGCUGCAUGGUGGGGGUUGGAAAGUUUCGGCGGUUGGGGAUGGACUCGCGGCUUAUCAGCUUGUUGGUGGGGUAGGGGCUUACCAAGGCUUUGACGGGUAGCCGGCCUGAGAGGGUGACCGGCCACAUUGGGACUGAGAUACGGACCAGACUCCUACGGGAGGCAGCAGUGGGGAAUAUUGCACAAUGGGGGGAAGCCUGAUGCAGAAACGUCGCGUGCGGGAUGCCGGCUUUUGGGUUGUAAACAGCUUUCGACUGUGACGAAGAGUGAGUGACGGUACUGGGUAAAGAAGCCACGGCUAACUACGUG
rnacentral:rRNA from 1 species